UCAUGUUUAAGAAUUUCAAUUUAGUCAUGGUUAAACUAUGGGAAAAUAUAAAUUUACUCUAUUUAAUCAUAAAUUAACUAUGAUGAAUGUAUAGAGUAACCUUAUUUAGCCAUCAUAUAAAUAUGGGAAAAUUUUAAACUCUUUAGUACACCUUACAAUACUCUUUAACAAUCAGUCAUAAGCUUCUUUAUGAGUCGUACCCCUUUCAAUAAUGGAUAAGCGAGCAUCAACUUUGUCUGCAAGAAGUUGCAAGUGUUUUGGGCUUUGAAAAUAAAAACAUUUAAAUAGAAAAUUUGAAGCGUUCUAUACUGAUGUUAAAAAAGUUAGUUGAUUUGUUUGAACUCACAGUUCGACUUGAAUCUUUAUAAAGAAAUGACCUAAAUUUUAGAAAUUUGAUUUCUUUCCCAUACAAUACAACAUAAUGUAAUCGGUUAGGCUGUUUAAAUUCAAAUUGGUCCAUUAAAAACUAU
rnacentral:lncRNA from 1 species